AUGCGUGCUGUCAACCUUAAGUUGUUGUUGUACCUCUUCGAGCUUAUGUCUGGUCUUAAAAUCAUUUUUUUAAAAAGUGAAGUCUUGUGUGUGGGAGGUGAUGAGUCUACACUCCGUAAAUAUGCGGACCUCUUUGGAUGCAAAAUUGGCCACUUUCAUAUGAAAUACUUAGGGGUGCCUGUGAGCUAUUCUUCUUUAGGGAACAUUGACUGGGAGUUUGUUGCUAUUAGAUACCUCAUGAGUUGCGAUGCUUGGAUUGGCAGCUCAGCCUCCUCUGGCGGAAGACUGACUUUGCUCAAUUCUUCCCUGUCCAGUAUAGCUUACUACUAUAUGUCUAUGUUCCUUCUCUCUAAAACAUUCAUUAAGAGACUGGACAAGUAUCGUCGUAAAUUUUUUUGGUGUGGUGGCACGGAGAAAAGACGUUACCACCUUGUUAAGUGGUCUCGGGUGUGUCGAUCUAAGAGAAGAGGGGGGCUGGGAGUUAAAGACCUCCAUAAACAGAACAUAUCUCUUCUAGCGAAGUGGUGGUGGAAAAUUGAUACGGGCGAAGGCUUAUGGCAAGAAGUGAUUAGAGCCAAAUAUCUUAAAAACUGUUCUGUGGCCACGGUGAAAAUCAAGUUCAGUGACUCCCCUAUUUGGAAGGCUUUGCUCAAAGUGAAAGAACAUUAUAUGGCUGGUAGGAGAGUGACCAUUAGAUCUGGUAAUGUGGCCAUGAUUUGGCAGGACCCUGUUGGGGAACACCCACCUCUAUGUGAGACGUAUCCGGUCCUGUUUAGCAUAGCUAAUCAUCCUGAUGAUACGAUCACUCAAUUUCGGGGCAGGGAAAAAGGGGUCAUCUUCAGAAAAAGAUUGAACCCUGAUUUAACUAGUCAGUUUGCUGGUCUUAAUAGCAUUAUUGAGAGCAUUGCUCCUUCCGUGGAACCUGAUAAAAUCAAAUGGGUUCUUGGCCCCAAAGAGAAGUAUACGACGAAAGCGAUGUAUUCUUACCUUGAGAGAAACAUCUCUGGGUGUGAUUAUAGAUGGAUUUGGAAGGCCAGGUUGCCAAUCAAAAUACAGAUCUUUUUGUGGCAAUUGUUUCAAGACGCAAUUCUAACCAGAGAUGUCAUGAGACGCAGGAAUUGGGCAGGCAAUCCUCGCUGCUCAUUCUGCGAUUGUCGAGAGACCUAUCUUCACUUAUUCUUCCUAUGCCCUGUCGCCAGGACUGUCUGGCGGACAGUAGGGGCGAUGCUGGGUACUGACUUAUGUCCCAACAACCUGUGCCAGUUCUACUCUUGGUGCUAUGCUUUUCUUCCCCAAGGGGAACGCCACUUCACUGUGGGUUUGGCAGCUGUCUGCUGGGCUAUUUGGAACCGCAGAAACCAAGUUACCUUUGAGCACAAGAAAAUGUCAUCUCCUUUCGAGAUUGUCUUCACAGCUUGUGUACACUUGAAAUACUGGGCGGGUCUAUUGAAAGGCUCGGAGCGGGAAGAACUGGAGCACGGCGCACUGCUGCUGAGGGACAACGCCAUGAGGAUGAUGAGGCUGUGCGCAUCAGCUCACACUGAGAGAAGCUCGGAUUGA
rnacentral:rRNA from 1 species